UACGUAGGGGGCUAGCGUUGUCCGGAUUUAUUGGGCGUAAAGAGCGUGUAGGCGGCCAGGUAGGUCUGCUGUGAAAACUCGAGGCUUAACCUCGAGACGUCGGCGGAAACCAUCUGGCUAGAGUCCGGAAGAGGAGAGUGGAAUUCCCUGGUGUAGCGGUGAAAUGCGCAGAUAUCAGGAAGAACACCCGUGGCGAAGGCGGCGUCUCUGGGACAGUACUGACGCUGAGACGCGAAAGCGUGGGGAGCGAACAGG
rnacentral:rRNA from 1 species